CACUCUGCUGAGUAUAAGUUGAUACUUCACAGUAACUACAAAAUGGAAGGCUACUUUACAACUGCAGAGACUGAGUGUCAAAGAGGUCGGAGGAUUUACCCACAGAAUCUCAGCCAUGCAGAUCCCACUCCACCUCUCCCCAAGGAAUACAUCCAGAAUUUCCAUUCAACCACUACUCAGUCCAGGAUCUCGGAGUGAUACACAAUAUUCUCUGCAUCAGAUCUUGAUCCGGAGACUCAGGAACUGGAGACAAGCAAUUGAUCAAGAUCAUCCAAGCAAAAUCUGACUACUAGGAGUACACUCUGAAAGUCAUUCUAGUUCAGAUGUUUUCCAUGAGAUCUCUGAAAUUCAAAAUUAUAUUUUAAACUAAGAAUUCUUGGAAAUUUGCAAUUGUUGGCUACGUGAUAACAUCUAAUUUCAAAAUAUCUUUGGCUGGUUUAUGUGGAAAUCUGAUGACUCCAUAGUGAUUUGUUUGCAGAUACUUCUGUAUUUCUCAAUAAACAGUGAUAGGAGGGCCAGUCCUUUUCACUGGCUAGCCAAAGAGACAGCUGCAUCUGAAACAAAAGGGGCACAGCCAAAGCAGAAUUGGUUUUAACAUAAUAAAACACAAAAGACUUGGACUUCUUUCUGGAUUCCAAGAGGAAUAUUCUUUGCUGUAGGAGGACUGCAAAAGACAGGACAGAAUGUGCAGGAGUCCAGUCACCAACAUAUUGAAAUCUGGUCUUCAAAACUGACAGAUGGGCACAGCCAAAAGCCCUGGAGGACAUGUUUGAAGUACACAUUGUGAAGAGCUCUGGCAAAUAAAAUGUUUCCUGAGCACUGACAACUCUAUGUGUGGCAACUGGUGUCUUGAGAGUCACUUGGGAAAAAGAAAGUAAGUUAACAAAAG